GAUGAACGCUGGCGGCGUGCCUAAUACAUGCAAGUCGAGCGAACAGACGAGGAGCUUGCUCCUCUGACGUUAGCGGCGGACGGGUGAGUAACACGUGGAUAACCUACCUAUAAGACUGGGAUAACUUCGGGAAACCGGAGCUAACACCGGAUAAUAUAUUGAACCGCAUGGUUCAAUAGUGAAGGACGGUUUUGCUGUCACUUAUAGAUGGAUCCGCGCCGCAUUAGCUAGUUGGUAAGGUAACGGCUUACCAAGGCAACGAUGCGUAGCCGACCUGAGAGGGUGAUCGGCCACACUGGAACUGAGACACGGUCCAGACUCCUACGGGAGGCAGCAGUAGGGAAUCUUCCGCAAUGGGCGAAAGCCUGACGGAGCAACGCCGCGUGAGUGAUGAAGGUCUUCGGAUCGUAAAACUCUGUUAUUAGGGAAGAACAAAUGUGUAAGUAACUAUGCACGUCUUGACGGUACCUAAUCAGAAAGCCACGGCUAACUACGUG
rnacentral:rRNA from 1 species